UACGUAGGGGGCCAGCGUUGCUCGGAAUUACUGGGCGUAAAGGGUUCGUAGGCGGCGCGGUAUGUCGGGAGUGAAAUCUCUGGGCUUAACUCAGAGGCUGCUUCCGAAACUGCCGUGCUCGAGUGCGGGAGAGGCGAGUGGAAUUACAGGUGUAGCGGUGAAAUGCGUAGAUAUCUGUAGGAACACCCGUGGCGAAGGCGGCUCGCUGGACCGCAACUGACGCUGAGGAACGAAAGCUAGGGGAGCAAACAGG
rnacentral:rRNA from 1 species